CAGGAAGUACGCGCCGAGGGUGUGCUGCGCUAUUUGUGGACGGCGAGCUGCCUGCUGAAUGAUGUCCAGCGGGCUUCCCAGAACCCUCACACUUCCUGUCUGUCACAGCGGCACAUAACGAACUCCGCUUCCUGUUUCUCAGGCAUGCGAGGACGGAGCAGAGGCCGGGUGUCCUGAACUGUCGGGGCUCACUGCUGCCCGCGGCGGUGGGGUCAGGGAGCCCCGCUGCAGGUUCUUUGUGAUGAACACAGAACCCCGAGAGCGUCUGCAUGCUGACUGAGCUCCGGCACCCCCCAUCCCCAUGGAUCCCUGAGAGUGUCUGCAAGCUGACCGAGCUCCGGCACCAUCCCCAUCCCCACGGAGCCCCGAGAGCGUCUGCACACUGACCAUGCUACUGCGCCCCCACUCAUCCCCACGGAGCCCCAAGAGCGUCUGCAAGCUGACCGAGCUCCGGCACCCCGUCCCCAUGGAGCUCGGUCAGCUUGCAGACACUCUCAGGGUCAGUCUGCACACUGACCGUGCUACUGCACCCCCACCCAUCCUGACGGAGCCCCGAGAGCAUCUGCACACUCACCAAGUUCUGGCGCCCCCCCCAUCCCCACGGAGCCCCGAGAGCGUCAGCGCACUGACCGAGCUCUGGUGCCCCCCUCAUUCCCACGGAGCCCCAAGAGCGUCUGCAUGCUGACCGAGCUCCGGCGCCCUCACCCAUCCCCACGGAGCCCCAAGAGCGUCUGCACACUGACCGAGCUCUGGUGCCCCCCUCAUUCCCACGGAGCCCCGAGAGCGUCUGCACGCUGACCGAGCUCUGGUGCCUCCCUCAUUCCCACAGAGCCCUGAGAGCGUCUGCAUGCUGACCGAGCUCCGGCGCCCCCCAUCCCUACGGAGCCCCGAGAGCGUCUGCACACUGACCGAGCUCCGGCACCCCCACCCAUCCCUACGGAGCCCCGAGAGCGUCUGCACGCUGACCGAGCUCUGGCGCCACCAUCCCCACGGAGCCCCGAGAGCGACUGCACACUGACCGAGCUCUGGUGCCUCCCUCAUUCCCACGGAGCCCCGAGAGCAUCUGCAUGUUGACCGAGCUCCGACACCCCCACCCAUCCCUACGGAGCCCCGAGAGCGUCUACACACUUACCGAGCUCCAGCAGCCCUCCAUCCCCACUCGGCAUCCUGCUGAUCUUCUCCACCUGCUCAGUCUCAGAUCGUUUGGAGCCACCCAGCGGGAAGGAAGCUGCUGUGAGAAAGUGCCCGUGUUUUGGGCCGGAGCAGGAAGCACCUCAUCUCAGGCAUCUCCCCCAACAAUGCCGUGGCGUCACAGCUGUGCGCUGGAGCUCCGCCAUUCACAUGGAAAGCUGCACCUAGAAUUCCAUUCCCAGGUUCGGGCUGUUGGAAGCAAGGAAAUGACAAUAAGGUGGGAAACUGGCUAAAAUUUCCUAUGUUCAUCCAUGUUCAUGGAUUUGCUGGAACUCGAGAGUGAGGUAUUCAGAUAAAGUAUCUGCAUACAGCACAGCCCCCACAAUGUACUCAUAACUUCGAGGUAAAAGUCCCUGUGAACCUGUAUCAUACUGUAGCUUACAAUACAUAUAUACUGUAAAGGGUUCUGUAAAGACCUCCAGCAUUAGAACAAGGGGGGAAAAAAUCCCACAUCUGCAGCUUGGAAAAUACCAUUAGUGUCAAGGGCGUCUUGUGCUACUUUGUUACCUUCAUUAGCCCAGUUGGCCUCUUCCAUUUCAAAGCAAAUCACGAGGAUGUCUGAAGCUGACUGACUUCAUAUAUAACCACAGACUGCAGGACUGCUUACACCAGAGCGAGAAACUCUAUUAGAAAUCAGGAUUCACAUUUAAGAAAUGAUUUUCUGAAGCCAGUUUAUGAUGGCUUUAUGCAUAUUGAAGAACUUCUCCUUGGAUAAAGACACCAGUUUGCAGGACUUCACUAAAGUUAACUUCGGUUCAUGCAUGUGAGAAUGCAACAAUACGGCGAGGAGCUCGGACACUUGGGAGAGGCUCAGCGUAGAGCUGCUGCUCCUCCGCAUUGAAAGGAGCCAGUUGAGGUGGUUUGGGUAUCUAUCUAGGAUGCCUCCCUGAGGAGGUGUUUCAGGCCUGUCCAACCAGGAAGAGACUCUGCGGCACGCUGGACAGAGUAUAGGAGGGUACAGGAGUAUGGGAGUAUGGUGGGUGAUGGAUGGAUGGAUGGAUGGAUUCACUCUGAGUUUGGCUAAGCCUGUCUAAAGCUAGAGGUGAACCUGUUGGACAUUUUGUUGCUUAAAAUACAAAUAAUAGAUCAUGUUUAUUUUUCCAACUUUAACUGCCUAAAGAGACUAUUGAUUAAUAAUUAUUUGUAAUUGUUUUUGAGUUAAUAGUUUGGAGGCAGUGGAGUCCUCACGAAUGUUGAUAUAGCUAACACGCUCAUGUGGAGAGUGGGUGUGUGUGUUUAUUAAUGUUAAUUAUUGUAUUCAUUAUUGUAAAUCUGAAGGAAAAGAACAGAAAAAACUGCAGUUGUAAACAGCUUUCGAAGAUUCCCACAGAGCUGCGGGCAUUAGGAAGGAGCAUGAGUAUGAAACCUGCGGGAGAGGAAACCAAAUCAGUCCUUGAGUCCCCCCAAAGAAGGGCCUCAGCAUAUCUGCCCCCCACUUAGCAACACCUUUAAUGGGCUGCCCCUUCUGCCGAAGUAAGCUGGAACAGUGCUGUAACUAGUAACUCUGCACGGUAUGGUGGGUCGGUUCCUGUUUUCCAGUGGAAAAGCACCAUUAUUAAAGCAGAGCACUGGGUAGUUGAUUUUCACCGCUUUGUCAGCAUAGUGCUCAGUUGCGUCUUAGUCAGAGGGUUGUUUUAUAGGGCUAGAUGGAGUAGGUUUGUUUGUUUUCUUUGUGCCUGUCAGAUGCCAGCAGGUACUGGCUUGGUGCUUUGGAUGGCUUGGGGGUAAGAGCUCUUGAGUGGCAUCUUGCUUUGGGGAUCUAUGGUCCCUAGUAGCUGGCAUCCUACAGCUAGUGUGCUGUGCCACUGGUGUCCUCUUUGGAUUUUUUCUAUGUGUGUGUCCUGGAUUUUGAGCACCUAGCCCUUUUUAGCUUCCCUGGUUCCCAGACAGGUUUUCCGGUUCUCUGCAUUUGAGUCUGCCUUCUGGUUCACCUCAUCCUGAAGCCAUCAAUCCAGUCAGAGGCCCAAGUCCCCCUGGUUCCCUGUGUCCAGUAACGUUUAGACCAGUGUUAUUCAACUCACGGUCCUCGAGGUCCGAGCACUGCUGGUUUUUCAGCCUUCCUUUACCUGUCAGUCAGCUGUGAAGCCUCUGACCAAUCAGAAUCAGUAAUUAUUAAACAACUACCUGGGAGAACUGAAAACACGGCCUGGAUUUGGAAUCGAGGUCCAGAGUUGAAGAACCCUGGUUUAGACUGUUGGUCACAGAAGUGAGGGAGCAGAAGACCUGGUGUAAUGGAUGGGUGGAUGGAUGGAUGGAUGGAUGGGUCGAUGGCCCAGGGUGAGAUGUUCUGUCACAGACCUUCUUUAUGGAGGCUAAUAAAUGUUUUUAACCAGUAAAAUCCAAA